rnacentral:rRNA from 1 species
UACAGAGACUGCAAGCGUUAUUCGGAUUCACUGGGCGUAAAGGGUGCGCAGGCGGCCAAGUGUGUGAGGCGUGAAAGCCCGGGGCUUAACCCCGGAAUUGCACCUCAAACUACAUGGCUAGAGCAUUGGAGAGGGUAGCGGAAUUCACGGUGUAGCAGUGAAAUGCGUAGAUAUCGUGAGGAACACCAGAGGCGAAGGCGGCCUUCUGGACGGUGACUGACGCUGAGACGCGAAAGCGUGGGGAGCAAACAGG